UACGUAGGGUGCAAGCGUUAAUCGGAAUUACUGGGCGUAAAGCGUGCGCAGGCGGUUAUGCAAGACAGAGGUGAAAUCCCCGGGCUCAACCUGGGAACUGCCUUUGUGACUGCAUAGCUAGAGUACGGUAGAGGGGGAUGGAAUUCCGCGUGUAGCAGUGAAAUGCGUAGAUAUGCGGAGGAACACCGAUGGCGAAGGCAAUCCCCUGGACCUGUACUGACGCUCAGGAGCGAAAGCGUGGGGAGCGAACAGG
rnacentral:rRNA from 1 species